AGAGUUUGAUCAUGGCUCAGGAUGAACGCUAGCGGCAGGCUUAACACAUGCAAGUCGAGGGGCAGCGGGGUGUAGCAAUACACUGCCGGCGACCGGCGCACGGGUGCGUAACGCGUAUGCAACCUACCCAUAACAGGGGCAUAACACUGAGAAAUUGGUACUAAUUCCCCAUAAUAUUCGAAGAGGCAUCUCUUUGGGUUGAAAACUCCGGUGGUUAUGGAUGGGCAUGCGUUGUAUUAGCUAGUUGGAGAGGUAACGGCUCACCAAGGCGACGAUACAUAGGGGGACUGAGAGGUUAACCCCCCACAUUGGUACUGAGACACGGACCAAACUCCUACGGGAGGCAGCAGUGGGGAAUAUUGGUCAAUGGACGCAAGUCUGAACCAGCCAUGCCGCGUGCAGGAUGACGGCUCUAUGAGUUGUAAACUGCUUUUGUACGAGGGUAAACUCACCUACGUGUAGGUGACUGAAAGUAUCGUACGAAUAAGGAUCGGCUAACUCCGUGCCAGCAGCCGCGGUAAUUC
rnacentral:rRNA from 1 species